CCUGGCGCGAUUGGAUGAGCCCACGUCGGAUUAGCUAGCUGGCGGGUAAAGGCCCACCAAGGCGACGAUCCGUAGCUGGUCUGAGAGGAUGAUCAGCCACACUGGAACUGAGACACGGUCCAGACUCCUACGGGAGGCAGCAGUAGGGAAUAUUGGACAAUGGGCGCAAGCCUGAUCCAGCCAUGCCGCGUGAGUGAAGAAAGCCCUCGGGUUGUAAAGCUCUUUUGUCCGGAAAGAAAAGCGCCGGGUUAAUACCCUGGCGUCCUGACGGUACCGGAAGAAUAAGCACCGGCUAACUUCGUG
rnacentral:rRNA from 1 species